rnacentral:ncRNA from 1 species
GUGUUUUUAUGAAAGAGUUAGCACUCCCCUUACCAAGAUGAAGAGCCAUUGGGUCUAACAAAUAAAUAUAGUUGCUACCUACUUUGUGGCAUCUAGCCAGUGUUUU